UGUAUGUUAGGUUGAGACAUAGUGUGAGCUGUAGGUUAGGUUGAGACAGUGUGAGCUGUAGGUUAGGUUGAGACAUAGUGUGAGCUGUAUGUUAGGUUGAGACAGUGUGAGCUGUAUGUUAGGUUGAGACAUAGUGUGAGCUGUAGGUUAGGUUGAGACAUAGUGUGAGCUGUAUGUUAGGUUGAGACAGUGUGAGCUGUAUGUUAGGUUGAGACAUAG